rnacentral:lncRNA from 1 species
GGUGGAGCUGGCGGCGCUUCGGGCGGAAUGGUUAUUUCAAAGCUCACUGAAUAUUUGAUUUGCUCUAUGGAAAUUUGCACUUCCAUCUUGCAUGGCAUUAAAAGGUGGUGCCUAAUAAAUCACAUGAAUAUGUGUGCAGAGUAGUGUUUGUGGAUUUUGCUUCACAAAAAAGGUGAUUUCAUAAUAAAUUACACAAAUGUUAGCACAAAACAAUUCGCAGAGUUUAACCUCUCUUGGGUAGGUUUUCUUUCUUGAAACCCUCUGAACUUAAUCAUCCAAUUUAGAAAACUUUGUAUGUAGUAGUUGCACCUAUAUGAGAUGAGAAGUAGCUUUAAUGAACCUAGCAUAUUUGUGCCUUGUUGCUCAGGGAUCAU